rnacentral:ncRNA from 1 species
CAAAUAAGUUAAAACAAAAUUUGAGUGCUUGGGAGGGAAACCCCCAAAGUAGAAUUGGAUGAAUUCAGGGAAACCUUUAAAAUGGCAAUCCUGAGCCAAGCCAGUCAUGGUACUGACUGGAAGGUGCAGAGACUAGAGGGGUUAGAAGGCAUUCUAAGUAAUACCUCAUUAGCAUCCAACACCUAAGCUUAGUAAUAGGUAUGGUGAUGAUAUAGUCCAGACUACAAAUACUUUUAUAA